CCAGGCUGAUCUCAAACUCUUGAACUCAAGCAAUCCUCCUGCCUCGGCCUCUCAAAGUGCUGGGAUUACAGGCAUGAGCUGCCACCGUGCCGACCUCUAACUUCAAAACAGAUCCAGACUCUGGGUACUUCUGCCACCUUCUGCCACUGCCCCCGUGUCCAGGCCACGUCACCACGUCUCUGGAUGGGCUCCCUCCUCCGCCUCUGCCACCCCCUCCUGCUCCCCCCUACAGUCCAUUCUCAACACAGAAGCAGCAGGGCUGCUUGAAAACCCGAGUCUGCUCCAGUCACACACACACACACACACACCACCCAUAAAAGAAAGGGUUGUUUUAAAACUCAUGACAGGCCAGGCGAGGUGGCUCACGCCCGAAUCCCAGGACUUUUGGGACUUUGGGAGGCCAAGACAGGUGGACCACCUGAGGUCAGGAGUUCGAGACCAGCCUGGCCAACAUGGUGAAACUCCGUCUCUACCAAAAAUACAAAAAUUAGCCAGGUGUGGUAGUGCGUCCCUGUAAUCCCAUCUUAGUGGGAGGCUGAGGCGGGAGAAUCCCCUGAAUCCAGGAGGUGGAGCUUGCAGUGAGCUGAGAUUGCGCCACUGAACUCCAGCCUGGGUGACGAAGUGAGACUGUCUCAAAAAAAAAAAAAAAAAAAGUAAUCGGCUCUUCAAGUGCCACCACGCCAAUCCUCUAGUCAUAAUGUGCUGUUCCUCGUUACUUUACAGUUGCAGGAUUCCGCUAAGGAAUUCUGGGAAGGAGGUGAGCACUGUAUGUAGGAACAGUCCCCCUGCAGGAGGCUGGUCUGGAGCUGGGGGUCACUCAAAUAGGGGAUUCCCCUCUGAGUUGGGCCUGGGAGGGUCACGGUCGGCACAGCACUCCUUUGGGCUCCCUCUGCAUCCCGACGGGCCCUCAUGGGAAACCGGGGGACCACACGGAACCGCACUCUGUAACUUUAGGGUUGCAGUACUAAAGCUACAAGGCGGUAGAUUUCUUCUGUGAUACUGAGUUUGUGCUGGGAAAUAACCAAAGGGAAGGUCAAAUAGGCAGAGGGUUUUGAAAGGGUUAAGAAUGUGGGUUUAAAUUAGCCAGGCGUGGCAGUACACACCUGUAAUCCCAGCUACUCAGGAGGCUGAGGCAGGAGAAUCAUCUGAACCUGAGAGGCAGAGGUUGCAGUGAGCCAAGAUUGUGCCACUGCACUUCAGCCUGGGUGACAGAGCGAGACUCCGUCUCAAAAAAAAAAAAAAAAAAAAAAGAAUAAAAGAAUAUGGGCCUGAUCAACAGGGAGGGGUUGUUUGAACACACAGAAGGAGCAGCUGUGUGAGGGCCAGAAGCUGCCAGAGGGUGGUAUUUGAGAGAGAGGAGGUAAGAGGUAGAAUCAGGGAGCCGGUGGAAAUGGAGAGGGUGGAAUGGUCCACUGAUCCUGCAAAGCGGGCUGAGCCAGACUGACUCAUGUACAGGCAUGGACAGUGGUGUGUUGGGAACAUUUCACAACUGGCUCUCCAGAAAAACAUAGACGUGUGCAUGUGUGCAUGUAUGCAUGUUUACACACACACACAUAUAAAUGUAUAAAUUUCACCUGCAGGAUGUGAAGCAUACAAUUUAUAAAUAAUAAUAAAGUAUACAAUAAUAAUACUCCUUCUUUAUUGUCCAUUUCAUGCAGCCAAUUGAUUCUCACAGAAUGCUUUUGUUGAUUUCAGCCAAACCCUGGAUUUUGCCAACCUGUGGAUGCAAUCAGCAAAUGAGAGCGCUCCGUGGCAUGAAGUUAAUUGAUGCUUUCAUUUCCCUUAACGGGAUGAAAAUGAAGUAAGGAAGACAUAGAAAACAAGACAUAUGUUGGUUGCUCAUGUCACUGGUUGGUGACAUGAGCAACUUCUUUGC
rnacentral:lncRNA from 1 species